UACAGAGGGGGCAAGCGUUGUUCGGAAUUACUGGGCGUAAAGGGCGCGUAGGCGGCCCUCUAAGUCAGACGUGAAAUCCCGGGCUCAACCCGGGAACUGCGUCCGAUACUGGAAGGCUUGAAUCCGGGAGAGGGAUGUGGAAUUCCAGGUGUAGGCGGUGAAAUGCGUAGAUAUCGGGAAGGAACACCGUGUGGCGAAGGCGGCCCCUGGUUGGAUACUGACGCUGAUACGCGAAAGCGUGGGGAGCAAACAGGG
rnacentral:rRNA from 1 species